AUUAACGGGACCCACCACUUCUUUGUAUAUCCAACCAUAAAAAAAAGUUUAUCUUUUUUAUAUAUAAUUUUAUCAAAUCAAUUUUAUCUCUCCUACACUCAUUCCAUAUCUUUCUCCUAAAAUCACUCCACUCCUAUUUUGAAUUUUGAAAAAUUUCUAGAUAUUCCUGUUCUCUUACUUUCAUUAAUCCAGUUCUUAUUUUUUAAUUUUUUUCCUUCAUCAACAUAACUAUAUAUCUAUUAUUUUUCUUAGUUUUUUCAUACUUUUUUUUUAAAAAAAAUUCUUUCUUUCUUAUCAAUUUAAAGUUCUUCAAAAUGAGAAUAAAGCAUUCAUCUCCAUAUAUGAGGAUUACCAAAGGUAUAUGACAACAUAAACAAGUUCAAAUUGAACAAUAUCUUGAAUAGAGAUUCAAGAAAAAAAUGACCCAAUGACCAGAAAGUCAUCAACAACGCAAAAUCUAGCGGCAUUAAGACAAUUGAAGGUUGGAGCAAGAGAAAAGUCAAAAACAUAAAUUCAGACGAGAUUGGAUCUAUCUCAUCAAAACUGGACAAAACUAGACAAAUCUGAAGAACAUCAGGUUGUGUAAUUUAUAUACAAAUUACUAAAGUUAUGUAUAUAGUGGAUUGCGUAUUAAGGUAAUAUAUACAAAGUAUUAUGAGAUAAUUGUUAUUUG